GAGGGGGACACACCCAGGGCCCAGGGGGGGCGCGGUAGGGCUUAGGGGCUGGGGGAGGGGAGGGCGGAGAAGGCGCUCAAAGUUCUUUUGUUUGAAAAUCGCAUCAGUUCCAGGGGGAAAACCUGGAUUUGUGACGUUUGAGCUGUCUCAAAGAGCAAAGAGCACCGGAUGAACCUGUAGCCCCACAGCCCGGGAGACCCAACUAGCAUAGGCCAUCACAGGCGCUGGACCUGGGACACAGAUGGUGUCCCACCAACGCGGCCACUUGAAGAUGGAGCCCCGAAAGAACGGCAGGGCCACCGUGCCCCGCUCAGCAGCAGGUGCAGCUGCGCACGGAGCUUUCAGGUACGCUCUCAGGCGAGCUGUCCAGCAGCAACGUGUCUGGCAAGCCUGGGAGGGAGCAGGGACGGGGAGCUCCACGACAAUGGGCGGGGUGGGGGGACUCUAAAUUCCACCCCACCUUACAGAAGAGGGGCAGAGAGGCUCGGCAAAGCUAAAGAGAUCGCCCAUGACCCUCAGAGGCACCAAGACUCAAACUCGGGGCAGCCUGACUCUGGGGUUACCCAGAGUGCAGUGGUCACUGAUACGGAACUGACCCUUCGCAGCUCGGGAGCAGAAGGCAAACCUGGGUCAGGAAUCCAGAAGAGAAAAUCAUCUCUGUCCUCCGAUUAACAGUGAAGGCAGAAUUCUAGCAGGACAGAUGCAAGCCGGUGGCCUGAGCACGGUUGGCCUGGUGAAGACACCCCCAGGCCUCGUAGGUCAGCUGCCUUCCCAGAACCUUCCGCUGCAGGACAAGGAUUCCCGGCGAGAUUGGGAACCCCCAGCCAGCCCCGCAGGACCAGCCGCCAACACCUACAAGUCCACCGCGACAAACUUGUCUGGAGCUGCGCCCCGCUUCGGAUUCUGGGAUGGACAGGGGCAAGCGCCAUCCCGAAACACGACCCAAAGUCCAGGCGUCUGGACACGGGAUCCCCCGCCCCGCGCGCAGAAUACCCCCACCCAAGAUGAGGGCUGGCGCCUCCCACUACCCCAAGUCCCGCGUGGACCACAGUGGGGGCAGAGGAGGGUCCUUACCGUGCAGGCCGUUGGGGAUGCUGCGGUGGUGCUGCGGCGCCGACAGGUCGUCCAGGGACCGGUGGGUGGCUCCCGCCUUGCCGUCUGGGGCCUUGUGCGGCCCGGGGGG
rnacentral:lncRNA from 1 species